GGUGAACGCUGGCGGCGUGCUUAAGACAUGCAAGUCGAACGGCAGUCUUCGGACUGUAGUGGCGCACGGGUGAGUAACGCGUAAUUGACCUACCCAAAAGCGCCGAAUAACGAUUCGAAAGAAUCGCUAUCACGUAAGUUGCUGUAAGAUGGGGUUCGGCCGUUAAAGAUGGAUGGCUUUGGGAUGGGGUUGCGUUCCAUCAGCUAGUUGGUGGGGUAAAGGCCCACCAAGGCGACGACGGAUAGCCGGCCUGAGAGGGUGGCCGGCCACAGGGGAACUGAGACACGGGUCCCACUCCUACGGGAGGCAGCAGUUAGGAAUCUUCCACAAUGGGCGAAAGCCUGAUGGAGCGACGCCGCGUGAGGGAUGAAGGUCUUCGGAUCGUAAACCUCUGAAUCAGGGACGAAAGACACUUCGGUGGGAUGACGGUACCUGAGUAAUAGCACCGGCUAACUCCGUGCCAGCCGCCGCCGUAACAC
rnacentral:rRNA from 1 species